GAUGAACGCUGGCGGCGUGCUUAACACAUGCAAGUCGAGCGAAGCACUUAAGUCUGAUUCUUCGGAUGAAGACUUUUGUGACUGAGCGGCGGACGGGUGAGUAACGCGUGGGUAACCUGCCUCAUACAGGGGGAUAACAGUUAGAAAUGACUGCUAAUACCGCAUAAGACCACGGUACCGCAUGGUACAGUGGUAAAAACUCCGGUGGUAUGAGAUAGACCCGCGUCUGAUUAGGUAGUUGGUGGGGUAACGGCCUACCAAGCCGACGAUCAGUAGCCGACCUGAGAGGGUGACCGGCCACAUUGGGACUGAGACACGGCCCAGACUCCUACGGGAGGCAGCAGUGGGGAAUAUUGCACAAUGGAGGAAACUCUGAUGCAGCGACGCCGCGUGAAGGAUGAAGUAUUUCGGUAUGUAAACUUCUAUCAGCAGGGAAGAAAAUGACGGU
rnacentral:rRNA from 1 species